rnacentral:rRNA from 1 species
UACAGAGGUCCCAAGCGUUGUUCGGAUUCACUGGGCGUAAAGGGUGCGUAGGUGGCAAGGUAAGUUUGAUGUGAAAUCUCCGGGCUUAACCCGGAAACUGCAUUGAAUACUAUCUCGCUCGAGAGUUGGAGGGGAGACUGGAACACUUGGUGUAGCAGUGAAAUGCGUAGAUAUCAAGUGGAACACCAGUGGCGAAGGCGAGUCUCUGGACAACUUCUGACACUGAGGCACGAAAGCUAGGGGAGCAAACAGG